GUAGGUGGCAAGCGUUGUCCGGAAUUAUUGGGCGUAAAGCGCGCGCAGGUGGUUCUUUAAGUCUGAUGUGAAAGCCCCCGGGCUCAACCGGGGAGGGUCAUUGGAAACUGGGGAACUUGAGUGCAGGAGAGGAAAGUGGAAUUCCACGUGUAGCGGUGAAAUGCGUAGAUAUGUGGUGGAACACCAGUGGCGAAGGCGACUUUCUGGCCUGUAACUGACACUGAGGCGCGAAAGCGUGGGGAGCAAACAGGAUUAGAUACCCUGGUAGUCCACGCCGUAAACGAUGAGUGCUAAGUGUUGGGGGGUUUCCGCCCCUCAGUGCUGCAGCUAACGCAUUAAGCACUCCGCCUGGGGAGUACGGUCGCAAAGACUG
rnacentral:rRNA from 1 species